ACUCGGACGGAGGCAUAUCUUGAAUCUUGAAACUUGCAAAUCCAUUGGUGUAUCCACAUAAAUUUUGUAAACACUGUAUAUAACACAAGUGUUCAUCACUGGACAUAGGCUUCUUAUACAAAAAAAAAACUUAAUUAACAACUAGAUAAACCAGAAUAACAGUAAAUAAAUGAAUAUACACAAUAUAUAUACACAUAUAUACAUCUGUAUUAUACAUAGUAUAUAAAUUUGUAUAUAUAUAUAUAUAGUAUGUACAUAUGUGUGGAUUUACUCACCAGAAAUUCUUAAAAAUAAAAUCUGGUGGUCAGUAGAUAUGGCUAGCUCUCAUCCUCAACUGGAUUUGGCCGAGCUCCAUCCCCACGGCCACAGUGGGGACCCUAAAUCCAAUUUAGGGCUCCCCUGUUUUAGGUUAUAUUAGAAUAUUCUUUCUGGAAUAUUUCUGUACAGUGGUAAGAAUAUUCAUUCUGGAUUAUUCUGUACAGUUGUAAGAAUAUUCUCUAUGGAAUAUUCUGUACACUGAUCCGAAUAUUCUUACUGGAAUAUUCUGUACAGUGAUCUGAACAUUCUCACUAGAAUAUUCUAUACAGUGAUCCGAAUAUUCUUGCUGGAAUAUUCUAUACAGUGAUCUGAAUAUUCUUUCUAGAAUAUUCUGUACAGUGAUCCGAAUAUCCUUUCUGGGUUAUUCUGUAUAGUGAUUCGAAUAUCCUUUCUAGAAUAUUCUAUACAGUGAUUCGAGUAUUCUGUACAGUGAUGCAAACAUUCUGCAGGACUAUUCCGUACAGUGAUCCGAAUAUUCUAAUUGGAAUAUUUUAAUCCGGCAAUGAAAACAUUUAAAAUUUCCAUAUGUUUUUGAACGAGUUUUAUCUAAACUUAAUGUUUAACCCAUUAUUUGUACGGUUUAUUUAUAUUUUAUUAAAAAAACCAAGUUUCAUUUACUAAGCUUAUUUAUAUCUCACAUUAAUAUCCAUAUUUAAGCAGAACUGGUGAUGCGGGGUGAACCGAAAUCCAGGCUACGUGCCGAAAUGUGGGCUAACCUAGAUCUCACAAAGGGUGUUGAUUGAUUAAGACAGUAGGAUGGUGGUCAUGAAAGUCGAAAUCCGCUAAAGUGUGUAACAACUCACUUACCGAAUCAACUAGUCCUGAAAAUGGAUGGUGCUCAAGAGCGCUGUCUAUGUCCAACCAUUACGGCGAUUGCAAGGCCUUGAUGAGUAGGGGGGGCUGUGGGGGUCAUGGCGCAGCCUCGGGCGCAAGCCUGGGUGAAAUGGCCCCUAGUGUAGAUCUUGUAGUAACAAGUAUUCAAAUGAGAAUUUUGAAGACUGAAGUGGAAAAAGGUUCCAUGUGAAUAACAAUUGGACAUGAAUUAGUUGAUCCUAAGAGAUGGGCAGUCUGCGCAGUGCGCGCCGUCCAUCAAAAGGAAAUCGAGUUAAUAUUUUUAAAUUGGGACAAGGCAAUGAGUAGUAACGCUGAGUGUAAAAUAACUAUGGUAAAUAUGUAAGUUACCUUAGUAAUUAAGGUAUAUACGGGGCUGAAUUCAGAGAUGCCAGAGAGGGCCUUGGGAAGAGUUCUCUUUUCUUUUUCUUUUUAAUGGCUUGUCGACUUUGAAAUCGGUUCAACUGGAGAUAGGGCCUCAUGGCUGGAAAAGCACCACAAGUUUUGCGGUGUCCGGUGCGCCUCUAGUGGCCCUUGAAAAUCUGGAGGAGUAGGUCCUAAGCUUGCCAAGUUGUACUCAUAACUGCAUCAGGUCUCCAAGGAGAGCCUCUAGUCGAUGGAACAAUAUAGGUAAGGGAAGUUGGCAAAAUGGGUCCGUAACUUCGGGAAAAGAAUUGGCUCUAAGGGUUGAGCUUAGGGUCUGCGGCUCGACCCUGUAGGCUAUCGACGGUCUACCCAAGUUGCUCUCUGUGGUGAGGGUAGGCUGCCGCAUGCCGACCAGGUGACAGUCACAACAAAAACACUUGUCACAUGAGGGGCGGGCCUUCCCUAGGCAUCGAACAACUGAUUCAGAACUAGAACGGACAAGGGGAAUUCGCCUGUUUAAUUAAAACAAAACAUUGUGAUGGUCCUUGUGAAUGUCGACGCAAUAUAAUUUCUGCCAAAGUGUUUUGAAUGUCAAAGUAAAGAAAUUCAACCAAAUGCAGGUAAACAGUGGGAGUAAUUAUGACUUUCUUAAGGUAGUCAAAUGCCUCGUCAUUUAAUUAGUGAUACGUAUCAAUGGAUUAACGAGAUUCCUAGUGUUCCUACCUACUAUCUAGUGAAACCAUAGCCAAGGAACGGGCUUGGAAGAAUCAGUGGCCAUUCCUUGGAAGAAUCAGUGGGGAAAGAAGACCCUGUUAAGCUUGACUCUAAUCCGACUUUGUGAAAUGACUUGAGAGUAAACGCGUGUUCCUGGCCCUCCAUUGUCAACCGUGCUGCGUUCAACGACAUCAUUCGUCUUGUUUCCGAAUUGGAAUGCUGGACCUGGGAAAAAACAACAAGGCACGUACCACUUGGUUUUCUGCUGCAACAUCAGGUCAUAAAACAUCACAUCGUCGAAAAAGAAGUCCUGCAUUUCAUCUGUGCAAAUAUUUCAUCUGCAUCGUGCAGCAAUUGCAAGCUUGAUUUCCUGUGGAAGUUUUCGGCAAUGCCGGUUGUGCCUGGAGAAAUCACCAUGUCUCUGCAAGUCGUGUAAGAACUUCUCUUUCAUCCACCUCCUCCAACAGCAUAUCUGUGGUCUUCUUCGAUAAAUCCUGCAGAACGCUUUCCAAACGCCAGUUUGGCAUGGAAUAAGGUUCCAGGACAGAUUUGUACAAAGCUUAAGGAUUCCAGAAUCAUUAAUCUUCACUCGAUGAUCAUGCUGGUUAAGUUUAGUGUGUUUAGUUUGGUUCAGUUUAGUUUAGAUGAGUUUAAUUUUGGUGUGCAGCUUCCAUCAUUGUUGUUGGAGAUAUUGUUCAGUACACCAUGUUAAGAUGAUUUAUAUUAUCCAAUACAGCACAAGCAUCCCAUGCUGCUGCAUUUAGCAUACACCAUGAUGCAUGACUUGUUUUUUUUUUUUCAAUCAUCUUUAGUAGUGGAUUUGUUCUUGU
rnacentral:rRNA from 1 species